rnacentral:lncRNA from 1 species
UCUUCAUAGACUCCUUGACUGGAGUCUAGAAAGACCCGCAAGGGUAGAAAGACCCCCAAAGAGUUGAAGGAACCCCAAAGGGUUGAAGGACCCCCAAAAGGUAGAAGGACCCCCAAUGGGUAGGAGGACCCCUAAGGGUAGAAAGACCCCAAAAGGGUAGAAGGACCCCCCAAAGGUAGAAAGAACCCCAAGGAUAGAAGGACCCCCAAAGGGUUGAGGGACCCCCAAAGGGUAGAAAGACCCCAAAAGGGUAGAAGGACCCCCAAAGGGUAGAAGGAGCCCGAAAGGGUAGAAGGACCUCCAGUGGUAGAAAGACCCCCCAAAGGUAGAAGGACCCCCAAAGAGUAGAAGGACCCCUAUAGGGUAGAAGGACCCCAAAGGGUAGAAGGACCCCCAAAGGGUAGAAAGACCCCUAAAGGGUAGAAACACCCUCAAGGGUAGAAGGACCCCCAAAGGGUUGAGGGACCCCCAAAGGGUUGAGGGACCCCCAAUAGUAGAAGGUCCCCCAAGGUCAGAAGGACCCCCAAAAGGUAGGAGAACUCCCCAAGGGUAGAAGGACCCCCAGUGGUAGAAAGACCCCCAAAGGGUAGAAGGAACCCCAAAGGUUAGAGGGACACCCAAAGGAUAGAAGGACCCCCAAUGGUAGAGGGACCCCCAAAGGGUUGAGGGACCCCCAAGGGUAGAAAGACCCCGAAGGUUAGAAGGACUCCCAAAGAUAGAAGGGACCCCCAAGGGUAGAAAGACCCCGAAGGUUAGAAGGACCCCCAAAGGGUAGAAGGACCCCCAAAGGUAGAAGGACCCCCAAAGGGUUGAGGGACCCCCAAAGGGUAGAAGGAGCCCGAAAGGGUAGAAGGACUCCCAAAGGUUAGAAGGUCCCCCAAAGGGUUGAGGGACCCCCAAAGGGUAGAAGGACCCCCAAGGUUAGAAGGACCCCCAAUGGUAGAGGGACCCCCAAAGUGUUGAGGGACCCCCAAGGGUAGAAGGACCCCUAAGGGUAGAAGGACCCCCAAAAGGGCAGAAGGACCCCCAAAGGGCAGAAGGACCCCCAAAGGUAGAGGGACCCCCAAGGUUAGAAGGACCCCCAAAAGAUAGAAGGACCCCCAGUAGUAGAAGGACCCCAAAAGGGUAGAAGGAUUUUGGGGUUAAAUGGGGGAUUUUCGAGGAGAAAAUGUAUGAUUUUGGGUUAAAUGGGGGAUUUUUGAAGGGAAAAUGGGUGAUUUUGGGGUUAAAUGGGGG